rnacentral:lncRNA from 1 species
UAAUCAUCUAGAAGAACUCACAAGCUAUGAGUGACAUCUAACCAUAUAUCAUGGCUACCCAAGCUAAUGUAGAAGUUGUUCGGAGAACCUAUUCAGUUGGAAUUACAAUGUAAUUCGAUCAUUCUCUAAAACAAUACUCUCAAUCACAUCACUAGGGUAUGGAUAUAUUAUGUCAAACCCCUAAUGUGAUUAUUCCUUCUUACAUGAUUCAAUUGAGUCGUAUAGGAACGCUUUCCUUUAUUACGCUCGAUACUCCGGCCGAAGAUUCCAAACUUAUAUCUUAGAGUAUUCAUCCUCUCUUAACGAGGAUUAGAGAUUCCUUGUUGCGCAUUCACUUGCCUUCAUGACUAAGUGGCUUAACCCCGACUAUGCGGUGGACACCCGCGGAUGGAGUGACUUUGACAUAAUCAAAGAUCAAGUACUUAACCACAAGACAACGAUGAUGCCUCAGGUCAAAUGACUACUUACAUUAUUCCAACUAUUAGAGUUACUUGCUUGACAUGUGAGUAGACCUCCAUGCAAGUGCUCUCGUUCGAUUGUGUUCAGUGAACUCAUUCCCUUAAUGAGCACCUACAUACUUGUCUUAGUGUCACUACACGAAUGGGAUGAGACUUUCCAUCCUUCUAAUUGAAGCGGACAUAGUAUGUACCGGUCUAUGCAUUGUCAGUUUCCCUCCGACAAUCCUAUGACCAGGAACCUUUUGGACAUGAUGGUUAUGUGAAGAAGGUCUCUGUAGUCUAACUUCAUUAGAUUACUUCUUCAAUCGAUCCAUUGUCCAUGGAUUCACCAUUUAGGACAUAUAUCGUUUAUAGAGAUAGUCCUAAAUAGUAUCUUUGCCAUUUGAUGUAUAAGAGUCAUCUAUACAUCCAUUUAUUGUCCUAAAAGGUUUCUUCCAAAGAUUGACUUUCAGGGCAUAUUUCCAACAACCCAUCCCAUUCACCUUUAUCGUCACCCACUUAUUCCACUUGCAUAUUCCACUUGCAUGCACAUUUACCACCAAAAACCUUUUCACACUCCUUUUCCCUAAUAAAACCGGCCAACCCCAAGUGGGGGUGAUUUUGGGCCGUUUAUGCAAUUACAUAAAGUUUUGAUACUUUUGUGUUUUUGUAUUUUGGCCCAAAAGUUUACGUUUUUACGUUAAGGCCCAAAAACUCUAAAGGACAAAUUGUUUUGCUCCUUUAAUGAUGUUUUUACAUUAUUAAAAUUUUGGGUUCUAGUUGUAAUUACAUGAAGUUGUGGACUUUUGUGUUAUUACAAAGUGACCCCAAAAGUUUAUGUUUUUGCAUUGUGGCCCAAUUGUUGUGGUCAUAGUUUCCAUUUGGCCCAAAUAAGAUGAGAACAAAAUGGUUUUGUCUCUUUAAUGAGAAUUGGAUUUUCAUUUCAUUUAGUUCCAUUUGAAUCAAUUCUAUGGAUCCGAAAACCAAUUGUUUAAGUUGUUUUCUUAGUUAAUGUGAUUGAUUAAGAAAAGGGUGAUUAUGAACCAAAGGCCUCGAUAAUUGAGCCAUGUGAUUGGCCGAUUUACAUUAUGAAUGUUUGGGCUAAGUAGUUUAAGAUAUGAAUGUAAUUUGAUUAGUUCAAGUUUGUUUUAAAUGGACAUAAGUCCAUCUAAUUUGUUGUAAAAGGGCAUAAGCCCUUCUCUUUAUUUCAAGUAUUCCUAUUUGUUUAUUUGUAUGCAAAUUGGAAUAGUUGGGUCCAACACCCAAUAGGAAAUAACGGGUUAAUUGGAUUAAACGCGUAACUAAAAUCAACAACUACCUACCUUAGACCCAAGGUCCAACCAAGGCUCGUGUUGGAUCAAAUUAAACGGUUCAUAAUCAUCCUAAGACCUAAUAUGACUAUAUAGUCCAUAUGAGGAUGCAAAGCAUUUGUUAGUAGUUCCAUAUAGUCUCGCUUGUUUCAUCGACAUAGUGGGAGUAUUAUAUACUACUAAAUCAUAUUAACUUGGACCAAUGGUUGUGAUAGGCCCAAGUUCUUUUAAUAAGAUUAAAAUGUUUUUGAUGUAGCCCAACACUACUCCCUCAAUAAAACGAAUAUUAAGUUGAUAAGCGAGAGAUGCUUUGAACAUCUCUUCGUAGGCCUUCCACCAUGGUGGUCUUCAAUCGUUUGUGACUCAUACACCGUAUUCGUCCAGUUCUGGGGUAUGCAAAGUAUGUGCUUACAUUCAGGAGAAGCCUAUAAACAUAUGAUGAAGUGAAGGUAGGCAACGAGUAUGGUCAAUAUGAUAUUCUUCUGAGGCCAUUCUUGAACCCCUACUUGAACUAGCAUGGUAGGAAUGACUUAACUAAGUGCAAUGGUGCCAAUAUGAUAUUCUUCUGAGGCAUCAUUUUCUAGACGCCAAACUAGAUGGGUAAUUACAAAAGUUGUAAAUGGCUAAGGCGUUAUCCUCUCAUCAUUAUUAUUGCUAGCCAAUAUGAUAUUCUUCUGAGAUGGGCUUGGUAAUGGUGAGCCUCCCAUACCCCGCUAAGAGUUCAACAUAACUCUCGAAUUCCAUUGAGGGAUGUGGAAUUUGCCGAAAAUAGUGGGUGGUACUAUUUGAUUUAAGACCCAAUCAAGUAGUUUUUAAAAUCAACAAUCUAAUACGAUUUCUGUUAUGUUAUGUAGUUAACGACAUGCCUAAAAUAAUACCCACCAUUAUA